CGUUGGUUGAAGGUGGAGAGGAAUUAGAAGCUCGUUCAGCGACGAGCUUCUAAUUCAAGUUGAAAUAGAAGAUCAGCUAUUUCUCCCUAGAAGAUGGCAGCAGUGCUAAAGACGCCAUGCACAGGGAGCUCCAACACAUAUUGUAUCUAAAAUGAUCGUACAAAAGUACAGCUGAGUUUCUGAGAACAAAUUAGCCUUUAAAAGCCCGGCAAAUGUGCUGCUGUUUCUCCUUGAGUUUGUAUAUGCUGCCUUCAUGAAUACUGCCAACUUGUGCCAUCAGGGGUAAGAAUCAGCAUUGAAAGAAACAGUUUAACUGCUACGAAAAUGCUUCUCCAGUGCAGUGUUUGAUCAUCUUAUUUUCUGUUUUAUCGGAGUUCCUAUUUUUAAGAGCCGAGAACCAGAGCACAUAACCAAUUUCUUUGUUUAACAGUCAGCAGCACGGCUAAGCAGCAGGACUCGACAGAAGGUACACGGCAACUACAACAUUAUGGUACUUACAUCGACUA
rnacentral:lncRNA from 1 species